rnacentral:rRNA from 1 species
CCUACGGGAGGCAGCAGUCGAGAAUAAUUCACAAUGGGGGCAACCCUGAUGGUGCAACGCCGCGUGGAGGAUGAAGGUCUUCGGAUUGUAAACUCCUGUCAUCCGGGAGUAAGACCUGACGGUUAACAGCCGGCAGGGUUGAUAGUACCGGAAGAGGAAGGGACGGCUAACUUCGUGCCAGCAGCCGCGGUAAUACGAAGGUCCCGAGCGUUGUUCGGAAUCACGGGGCGUAAAGGGAGCGUAGGCGGCGUGGCAAGUCAGAUGUGAAAUCCCGGGGCUCAACCCCGGAACUGCAUCCGAUACUGCCAUGCUCGAGGAUUGGAGAGGUAGCUGGAAUUCUUGGUGUAGCAGUGAAAUGCGUGGAUAUCAAGAGGAACACUCGUGGCGAAAGCGAGCUACUGGACAACUCCUGACGCUGAGGCUCGAAGGCCGGGGGAGCGAAAGGGAUUAGAUACCCUAGUAGUC